rnacentral:rRNA from 1 species
GCGAGCUUAAACCGAUAGGUGUAGGCGGAGCGAAAGCGAGUCUUAAUAGGGCGUUUUAGUUCGUUGGAUUAGACCCGAAGCCGGGUGAUCUAGCCAUGGGCAGGUUGAAGGUGCGGUAACACGCACUGGAGGACCGAACCCGAGAAUGUUGAAAAAUUCCGGGAUGACCUGUGGCUAGGGGUGAAAGGCUAAUCAAACCCGGCAAUAGCUGGUUCUCCGCGAAAGCUAUUUAGGUAGCGCGUCCCGUAUC